AACUGAAAAAGGCAAACCAUUUGAAAGGAUGGGACGCAAAGCCUAGGAGCCUGACACCGGAUUAACCCGGGAAUGGCCGUCCAGCUGCCAGA
rfam:Bacillus sp. B-jedd genome assembly, contig: CONTIG000001